rnacentral:rRNA from 1 species
CCUACGGGAGGCAGCAGUGGGGAAUAUUGGACAAUGGGGGAAACCCUGAUGCAGCGACGCCGCGUGAGUGAAGAAGGAUUUCGGUAUGGAAAGCUCUAUCAGCAGGGAAGAAAAAAGACGGUAGCUGACUAAGAAGCCCCGUCUAACUACGUGCCAGCAGCCGCGGUAAUACGGAGGGGGCAAGCGUUAUCCGGAAUUACUGGGUUUAAAGGGUGCGUAGAUGGGAUGGUAAGUCAGAAGUGAAAGCCCGGGGCUUAACCCCGGGACUGCUUUUGAAACUGUCAUGCUGGAGUGGAGGAGAGGUAAGCGGAAUUCCUAGUGUAGCGGUGAAAUGCGUAGAUAUUAGGAGGAACACCAGUGGCGAAGGCGGCUUACUGGACUGUCACUGACACUGAUGCACGAAAGCGUGGGGAGCAAACAGGAUUAGAUACCCCGGUAGUC